AGGACGGAGCACGAGAAACUUUGUCUGAACAUGGGGGGACCAUCCUCCAAGGCUAAAUACUACUGACUGACCGAUAGUGAACCAGUACCGUGAGGGAAAGGCGAAAAGAACCCCGGAGAGGGGAGUGAAAUAGAACCUGAAACCGUAUGCGUACAAGCAGUGGGAGCCUACUUGUUAGGUGACUGCGUACCUUUUGUAUAAUGGGUCAGCGACUUAUAUUCAGUGGCAAGCUUAACCGUAUAGGGUAGGCGUAGCGAAAGCGAGUCUUAAUAGGGCGUUUAGUCGCUGGGUAUAGACCCGAAACCGGGCGAUCUAUCCAUGAGCAGGUUGAAGGUUAGGUAACACUGACUGGAGGACCGAACCCACUCCCGUUGAAAAGGUAGGGGAUGACUUGUGGAUCGGAGUGAAAGGCUAAUCAAGCUCGGAGAUAGCUGGUUCUCCUCGAAAGCUAUUUAGGUAGCGCCUCAUGUAUCACUCUGGGGGGUAGAGCACUGUUUCGGCUAGGGGGUCAUCCCGACUUACCAAACCGAUGCAAACUCCGAAUACCCAGAAGUGCCGAGCAUGGGAGACACACGGCGGGUGCUAACGUCCGUCGUGAAAAGGGAAACAACCCAGACCGCCAGCUAAGGUCCCAAAGUUGUGGUUAAGUGGUAAACGAUGUGGGAAGGCUUAGACAGCUAGGAGGUUGGCUUAGAAGCAGCCAUCCUUUAAAGAAAGCGUAAUAGCUCACUAGUCGAGUCGGCCUGCGCGGAAGAUGUAACGGGGCUCAAACCACACACCGAAGCUGCGGGUGUCACGUAAGUGACGCGGUAGAGGAGCGUUCUGUAAGCCUGUGAAGGUGAGUUGAGAAGCUUGCUGGAGGUAUCAGAAGUGCGAAUGCUGACAUGAGUAACGACAAUGGGUGUGAAAAACACCCACGCCGAAAGACCAAGGGUUCCUGCGCAACGUUAAUCGACGCAGGGUUAGUCGGUUCCUAAGGCGAGGCUGAAAAGCGUAGUCGAUGGGAAACAGGUUAAUAUUCCUGUACUUCUGGUUACUGCGAUGGAGGGACGGAGAAGGCUAGGCCAGCUUGGCGUUGGUUGUCCAAGUUUAAGGUGGUAGGCUGAAAUCUUAGGUAAAUCCGGGGUUUCAAGGCCGAGAGCUGAUGACGAGUCGUCUUUUAGAUGACGAAGUGGUUGAUGCCAUGCUUCCAAGAAAAGCUUCUAAGCUUCAGGUAACCAGGAACCGUACCCCAAACCGACACAGGUGGUCGGGUAGAGAAUACCAAGGCGCUUGAGAGAACUCGGGUGAAGGAACUAGGCAAAAUGGCACCGUAACUUCGGGAGAAGGUGCGCCGGCUAGGGUGAAGGAUUUACUCCGUAAGCUCUGGCUGGUCGAAGAUACCAGGCCGCUGCGACUGUUUAUUAAAAACACAGCACUCUGCAAACACGAAAGUGGACGUAUAGGGUGUGACGCCUGCCCGGUGCCGGAAGGUUAAUUGAUGGGGUUAGCGCAAGCGAAGCUCUUGAUCGAAGCCCCGGUAAACGGCGGCCGUAACUAUAACGGUCCUAAGGUAGCGAAAUUCCUUGUCGGGUAAGUUCCGACCUGCACGAAUGGCGUAACGAUGGCGGCGCUGUCUCCACCCGAGACUCAGUGAAAUUGAAAUCGCUGUGAAGAUGCAGUGUAUCCGCGGCUAGACGGAAAGACCCCGUGAACCUUUACUGUAGCUUUGCACUGGACUUUGAGCCUGCUUGUGUAGGAUAGGUGGGAGGCUUUGAAGCGUGGACGCCAGUUCGCGUGGAGCCAUCCUUGAAAUACCACCCUGGCAUGCUU
rnacentral:rRNA from 1 species